CGGAAUGCGGCGUGCUAUACAUGCAAGUCGAGCGGACAGGAUGGGAGCUUGCUCCCUGAAGUCAGCGGCGGACGGGUGAGUAACACGUGGGCAACCUGCCUGUAAGACUGGGAUAACUCCGGGAAACCGGGGCUAAUACCGGAUAACUCUUUUCCUCACAUGAGGAAAAGCUGAAAGAUGGUUUCGGCUAUCACUUACAGAUGGGCCCGCGGCGCAUUAGCUAGUUGGUGAGGUAACGGCUCACCAAGGCCACGAUGCGUAGCCGACCUGAGAGGGUGAUCGGCCACACUGGGACUGAGACACGGCCCAGACUCCUACGGGAGGCAGCAGUAGGGAAUCUUCCGCAAUGGACGAAAGUCUGACGGAGCAACGCCGCGUGAGUGAUGAAGGUUUUCGGAUCGUAAAACUCUGUUGUCAGGGAAGAACAAGUACCGGAGUAACUGCCGGUACCUUGACGGUACCUGACCAGAAAGCCACGGCUAACUACGUGCCAGCAGCCGCGGUAAU
rnacentral:rRNA from 1 species